GACGAACGCUGGCGGCGUGCCUAAUACAUGCAAGUAGAACGCUGAAGGAGGAGCUUGCUCUUCUGGAUGAGUUGCGAACGGGUGAGUAACGCGUAGGUAACCUGCCUGGUAGCGGGGGAUAACUAUUGGAAACGAUAGCUAAUACCGCAUAACAGUAGAUGUUGCAUGACAUUUGCUUAAAAGGUGCAAUUGCCUCACUACCAGAUGGACCUGCGUUGUAUUAGCUAGUUGGUGGGGUAACGGCUCACCAAGGCGACGAUACAUAGCCGACCUGAGAGGGUGAUCGGCCACACUGGGACUGAGACACGGCCCAGACUCCUACGGGAGGCAGCAGUAGGGAAUCUUCGGAAAUGGACGGAAGGCUGACCGAGCAACGCCGCGGGAGGGAAGAAGGGUUUCGGAUCGUAAAGCUCUGUUGUAAGAGAAGAACGAGUGUGAGAGUGGAAAGUUCACACUGUGACGGUAUCUUACCAGAAAGGGACGGCUAACUACGUG
rnacentral:rRNA from 1 species